rnacentral:rRNA from 1 species
GAAUCGCAUGGCCUUGCGCCGGCGACGGUUCAUUCAAAUUUCUGCCCUAUCAACUUUCGAUGGUAAGGUAUUGGCUUACCAUGGUUUCAACGGGUAACGGGGAAUUAGGGUUCGAUUCCGGAGAGGGAGCCUGAGAAACGGCUACCACAUCCAAGGAAGGCAGCAGGCGCGCAAAUUACCCGAUCCCGACACGGGGAGGUAGUGACAAUAAAUACUGAUACAGGGCUCUUUUGGGUCUUGUAAUCGGAAUGAGUACAAUUUAAACCCCUUAACGAGGAACAAUUGGAGGGCAAGUCUGGUGCCAGCAGCCGCGGUAAUUCCAGCUCCAAUAGCGUAUAUUAAAGUUGUUGCAGUUAAAAAGCUCGUAGUUGAACCUUGGGCCCGGCUGGCCGGUCCGCCUCACCGCGUGUACUGGUCCGGCCGGGCCUUUCCUUCUGGAGAGCCCCAUGCCCUUCACUGGGUGUGCGGGGGAACCAGGACUUUUACUUUGAAAAAAUUAGAGUGUUCAAAGCAGGCCUUUGCUCGAAUACGUUAGCAUGGAAUAAUAGAAUAGGACGUGCGAUCCUAUUUUGUUGGUUUCUAGGACCGCCGUAAUGAUUAAUAGGGACAGUCGGGGGCAUCAGUAUUCAAUUGUCAGUGGUGAAAUUCUUGGAUUUAUUGAAGACUAACUACUGCGAAAGCAUUUGCCAAGGAUGUUUUCAUUAAUCAGUGAACGAAAGUUAGGGGAUCGAAGACGAUCAGAUACCGUCGUAGUCUUAACCGUAAACUAUGCCGACUAGGGAUCGGGCGAUGUUUUUAUCUUGACUCGCUCGGCACCUUACGAGAAAUCAAAGUUUUUGGGUUCUGGGGGGAGUAUGGUCGCAAGGCUGAAACUUAAAGAAAUUGACGGAAGGGCACCACCAGGCGUGGA